UAUAUUUUGGUGUAUGGUGCAUAUUAGUUUUUGAUACUUUUGGUAACAGUUUAAUUCUGUUGAAUAUAA
rnacentral:tRNA from 1 species